GUUAUGUUGUGCAUUUCAUGUGCGAGGCCCUUCAUAAUUUAUCAUGCGAAGCGAAGUCUCCGAAAUUAUAAACGUGGAAUUGUUUUCGUAGAAAACUGGUAUCCAAAGGCCAAGGGAAAGGAAAGUCUUCGAAAUUAAUACGAAGUUUAUUCUUCAUCCGUUGGCUUUUAACUCAUUUACUUUUGUUUUUUAUCAACGAAAAUUUUGUGAUAGGACAUCUUUUAAAUAUUGAAUCUCUUAAAAAGAAAACUAUCAGUGUAUGAUCCUGUAUAUGGCAAUUGGCAGAUUCGUCAGUAUUACACAACGAUCUAGCUGCUUGAAUAACUGGUGCAAGUUUUAUACAACCGCUAUGACUUCUUUGCUGGUUCCUCCAGCAUCUGUUCGUGGGAUGACAUGCCUGGAUCGUGAUGCAUUUACAUCGGUUAUGACUGUAUCGACAUUAAAGUUGCGUGAUGUUGCUAUCUCAAAAAAUAUACACGUGUUGAAGAAAUAUUUGUUGAAGAUAUGUAAUUUUAAAUCAGUUCAAAAGACAAAUGAUGGAGCUGUUGUUUAUCUGAACCCUGAUAUCGUCACAAAAUUUGAAGAUAUUACUGAGAACGAUAGGAAACUACUAAUAGAUCAAUAUAGUCAUUUUAAUAUAACGAAUGUUACAAUAAAGUAUGAUAAUUGGCGUCGAGACAUUAUACUAAAAUCAAUUCUUCCAGAGGAUAUUGAAGUUCCUACAGCAUAUAGUCUAGUGGGACAUAUCCUGCAGUUGAAUUUACGUGACGUACACUUGCCAUACAAAUUUAUCAUUGGUCAAGUGUUUCUCGACAAGACCGCCAGCGCACGUACAGUAGUAAAUAAAAUCAAUACAAUUGACACAUCGUUCCGAUAUUUUGCCAUGGAGAUCCUGGCCGGCGAGAAAAAUACAGUAACAAUCACGAAGGAACAUGGUUGCACGUAUCAAUUCGAUUUUGCGCAGGUUUACUGGAAUCCACGUUUGUCCACCGAACACGCACGACUGGUAACUUUUAUGGUGCAGGAUGACGUUCUGUACGAUGUGUUCGCGGGAGUGGGGCCUUUUGCGAUUCCCGCGGCGCGUAAAAAGAUUCAGGUACUCGCUAACGAUUUGAAUCCCGAAUCUUACAAAUGGCUGCAAAAUAAUGUUGCUAUUAACAAAUUAAGAGAUAAUUUUAAGGUUUUCAAUAUGGACGGUAGAGAUUUUCUGAGAAAAGUUGUCAAAAAUGAUAUUUUAGCCAGACGAGCUCAGGAUUUGCCAGGUUCCGAACAUAUAGUAAUGAAUUUACCUGCGUCGGCCAUUGAUUUUUUGGACGUUUUGUCUGACUGGUUCACGCAAAAAGAGCUGGAAAAAGUUUGUCUUAAGCCACCUACGUUUCAUGUGUAUUGUUUUGUAAAGGCAGACAAAGGAGAUGAUGUUUGUACACUCGGAAGAUUACUAGUUGAACAGAAACUCGGUUAUAUGUUGUCCGCCGAUUCUAUCUUCAACAUACACGAUGUUAGGGACGUUUCACCAAAUAAACAAAUGGUUCGAAUAUCGUUUUUAUUGAAACAGAGAGUAGUCAAAGGCGAGGAGCCAGCAACGAAGAAACUUAAAAUUAAUAACAUUAAUGAUUUACAAGAAUUUGUAAAGAAUGAUGAAUGUUACAGAGAAAAUGGGAAAGAACAAAAGGACUUAUAAAGAUAAAAAUGUUUUCAAAGUUGUAACAUCUCGCAGUAUUAAGUUGAAAGCUAAAAUGCAAAAAAUGGCUACUAAUCUAAAGAAAUUAGAUCUGAAAGAAAAUAAGACGUCAAAUAAAAAUAAAACAAUCAGCCUGGAUCAAUUGAGAGAAUCGCUACUAAUGGAAAAUAAGGAUUCUCAAGCGCCUAGUUCUAAAGUGAAAUUUAAUGCAAAACAAACUCGAAAGAUAUCGAUUGAAGCGAAUAAAAAAAUUCCAAUGCCUAAGACGUCGACACAAACGGAUACGACAAUCUCGAUGAUGGAGCAGAUUCAACUUUAAAAAAGAAAAAGGAUGAAUAAACUUAAUAUUAUGUAUAUAUUUGUUACGAUGUACUGUAUAAUAAUGUUUAAUUAAAUAUAUCUUAGAAAAUACAAUACUUGUACAAUAUAAUAAGGAAAUAUAAUUCUUUGUUAAUGUUACACACAUGCAAACAUACAUACUUUUUUAUUUCAUUGUAAUUUUUAUAAUAAAUAUUAUAAGAA